GAAGGUAUAGCUCAAGUGGCAGAGCACAUGCUUAGCAUGCACAAGGUCCUAGGUUCAAUCCCCAGUACCUCCU
rnacentral:tRNA from 1 species